ensembl:lncRNA
GAAUGAUAGAUCAUGGCUUGUCAUGAAGCAGGAACACAUUAGAAUGGACAACAGGACGCUUUUCUUGAGUAUUUGCCCAACGGAAGUUAUCCCCUGCCCCAGUCAAACUGAGUCUAGUUUUCCAAGAAGGGCCAUUGUACUGUGGAGUCUCAGAGACGGAACACAAAGUAAACAGGACUUACUACCCAGAGGCCCCUUCUCUUCUCAUGAGAAACCACUGUCUGUGUUGAACUCUUAACUGAAACCACAGUCCAGAGUUUCAAGGAGCCACCUCUCAAACAUGGAUAUCAUUAAAGUUCAGAGAUUUCCAACCACAGAUUUACUAUCUUUGGAAUGAAAGCUGGAGAGCAGCCUAAGUCACGUCUAACGCAGGAAGGGAAGUUAAAGACAGUCUUGGCAUCCUUCAGAUCGCUGACCCUACAGAGAUGUUCGAUGUGAAGAAGGAAAUGGCAACCCACUCCAGUGUUCUUGCUUGGGAAAUCCUAUGGACAGAGGAGCCUGGUGGGCUAUAUCCAUGGAGUUGCAAAAGAAUCAGACACAACUUAGCAGCUAAGACCUGCUAAGUUUAAAUAUGCCAAAAAUAUUUUCAUGAGUAAAGGAUAUUUUCUUACCUCUGUUGUUGCUUUAAAAAUAACAUGAAAAAAGAUAAAAUUAUUAUGCCCAAAUAUUGUUAAUAAAAGAC